AAGCUCGUGUUUCCUUUAACUGAGCGCAAGGGCAGGAGGAGAAAAAACAAGCCAAAGAACUACGUAGGCAGGCGAGAGUGUGCAAAGAACAAAGGCAAGGGAGACAAAGGGGACCCGGGAAAUGCAUCAGCACGGGGUGCAGGAGGCGGAGGCUGAGCUGGGGCAAGUGGAAAGAGAUCUCACUGUUGUUUUCCUUAGUUGCUGUGCGAUCCAGAAGAAGAGGUUUUAUUGUUCAUGUACACCACAAAUCAUCUUUUGGCCUUUGAAACUAAAAGUGCUGCACAGCUCUGAGGAUAUUUAAAUAUACCAGCAUAAGUGUCUCCUGAAAAGGAAGGAGAACAUUCCAGAGGCCAAAAUCCAGUUUAACAAGGAUCUUCCUGCAAAUUAACAAUGAAGGCAGCAUUAUGAAAAGGAGAGGAUACUUUACAACAGAAACCAAUUGUUUAGCCUCUGAAAUACCCACAACAGAGGAAUUGCUGAAGAUGACAACAUUAGCAGAGAUGGAAAAAUUGACUUUUUGAGUAGAGAAAGGACAAUAACUGCAUUUAUUAGUAACUGGAAAUGCCUAAUGGACUUUUUGCCUAAAAAUGAAUUUGAGAUUUAUGGUUUGAUAUCAGAAAGGGUAGAUUAUCAAAAGAAAGAAAUUAUGUUGUAAUGUUAGAGAGAAAGGGUAAAAUAUAAAAUGUAUAAAUGUACCUGUAACUUCUGUUAAGAACUUUGGAACCUGCUUUUUUUAUAAUAUCUCUUUUUCUCUCUUUCCCAUCUCUAUUUUGCACACACAUACACACACAAACACUAAUGAUAGCCACAUCAGAAAGAAGUAGUGUGAGAAGCUGUAGAAGUAAUAGGAAGGAGGAACUACAGAGGAUAUGAAAAGUGAAGGCCAAAAGCUAAGAUUGCUCAGAAUCAGGGGUGAAAUGCUACCGGUUUGGACCGGUUCUCCCGAACCGGUAGUAAUAAAAGCUACCGAUUCAGAAAAACCGGUAGUAAAAAAAUGCUACCAGUUCAGAUGAACCGGUAUUUCUGAUGAUCAGUUGUGCCGCACAAUUUAUUUUUGCUAGAAAGCUGAAAACAUACAUUUAUAUAUCUCUAGUAUUGCUCUAAAUCAGCAUUUUUUCAAAAUUGACUAUUUUAAGAAUCUUGGACAUCAACUCCCAAAAUUUUCCAGGUAGAAUGCUAGCUGGGGAAUUCUGGGAGUUGAAGUACAUACAUCUUAAAAAUUGGUAAGUUUGAAAAAUAUUGUUCUAAAUUGUCGACAGCUGAUUAUUUGGUAAGUUUAUUUUACAGCUGCAACAUGGUAGCUAUCUAUAGCUCAGCCCAAUGUUUCUAUUCUCACUCUUACCUAGCUCUUCAACAUGUUCUGACAAGUCAUUCUUAGCAUUGAGAUUUCUGAUUUAAAAACAAAAAGUGAGUCACUCUAUGAUUCCUUUCAUUAAAUCUUUUUAAACAACUUAUUUUUAAAAUGUAAUUUUGGUUUGAAUAUUUAACUGGAAAAGGGAGGUGAUUUAACUUUUUUGUUUAAGUGAGAUUGAUUUUAUUUGCCUGCUUGGCAUGUGUAUUACAUGGAAAUUUUCAUAGAGAUAAAAGAAAAUGUUGGAAAAGAGGCUAUUGUUCUUUUUUUGAAAAAGUUAGGAUUAUUACAGAUUCAGGAAAAAAAAUAUUAGCAGCAGAGUCUCCAAUCCCCUUCUUCCUGCCACAGAAUUGCGGCGAUGAUGCCAAUUUAUUAAAAAACAAAACAAAAAACAGGAGAGAGAGAGAGAGAUCUCCAGCAUUACUCUUUCAUGUUUGAUUUUUCAUGGAUCAUCUGCAUUUUACUUGACAAAUUUAUCUUUUCUCAUUCUGCAGGCAUGUUAGUGUAAGUUAUUAUGGUACUCUACUUUGAAGACUGUAUUAACUUCCUGAUUCUAUAAAACAAUGUGGUACAGCUGGUUCAAAUAACACUGUUACACAAUUUAUAUGUUUAAUAAGAAAGGCAAUGUUAAGAUGUUUUGUUUUAAUGCAGAAGGAAAAGUUUUUAAAUGAUAAUUAUAUUUUAAGCACUAAUUAUAAGUGGAUUAUAUUUUCCCAGCAUACAAAACAAA